UACGGAGGGAGCUAGCGUUGCUCGGAAUUACUGGGCGUAAAGCGCACGUAGGCGGCUUUGUAAGUUAGAGGUGAAAGCCCGGGGCUCAACUCCGGAACUGCCUUUAAGACUGCAUCGCUUGAAUCCAGGAGAGGUGAGUGGAAUUCCGAGUGUAGAGGUGAAAUUCGUAGAUAUUCGGAAGAACACCAGUGGCGAAGGCGGCUCACUGGACUGGUAUUGACGCUGAGGUGCGAAAGCGUGGGGAGCAAACGGG
rnacentral:rRNA from 1 species